rnacentral:rRNA from 1 species
UCGAACGAUAGAUGAGAGCUUGCUCUUAUCGAGAGUGGCGCACGGGUGCGUAACGCGUAUGCAACCUACCUUAAUCUGGGGGAUAGCCCGGAGAAAUCCGGAUUAAUACCGCAUAAAAUCACAGGAUGGCAUUAUCCAAUGAUCAAACAUUUAUGGGAUUGAGAUGGGCAUGCGUGUCAUUAGCUAGUUGGCGGGGUAACGGCCCACCAAGGCGACGAUGACUAGGGGAUCUGAGAGGAUGGCCCCCCACACUGGUACUGAGACACGGACCAGACUCCUACGGGAGGCAGCAGUAAGGAAUAUUGGUCAAUGGAGGCAACUCUGAACCAGCCAUGCCGCGUGCAGGAAGACUGCCCUAUGGGUUGUAAACUGCUUUUAUCCGGGAAUAAACCUUUCUACGUGUAGGAAGCUGAAUGUACCGGAAGAAUAAGGAUCGGCUAACUCCGUGCCAGCAGCCGCGGUAAUACGGAGGAUCCAAGCGUUAUCCGGAUUUAUUGGGUUUAAAGGGUGCGUAGGCGGCCUGUUAAGUCAGGGGUGAAAGACGGUAGCUCAACUAUCGCAGUGCCCUUGAUACUGAUGGGCUUGAAUGGACUAGAGGUAGGCGGAAUGAGACAAGUAGCGGUGAAAUGCAUAGAUAUGUCUCA